AGAAUUUGAUCUUGGUUCAGGAUGAACGCUGGCGGCAUGCUUAACACAUGCAAAGUCGAACGGAGUAAGUAAAUGGAAGUUUCGGAUGGAAAUUUAUUACUUAGUGGCGGACGGGUGAGGUAACACGUGGGUAACCUGCCGUAUACAGGGGGGAUAACACCUAGAAAUAGGUGCUAAUACCGCAUAAGCGCACGAGAAUCGCAUGAUUCGGUGUGAAAAACUCUGGUGGUAUACGAUGGACCCCGCGCCUGAUUAGCUAGUUGGUGAGGUAAUGGCUCACCAAGGCUUCGAUCAGUAGCCGGCCUGAGAGGGUGAACGGCCACAUUGGGACUGAGACACGGCCCAAACUCCUACGGGAGGCAGCAGUGGGGAAUAUUGCACAAUGGGGGAAACCCUGAUGCCAGCGACGCCGCGUGAGUGAAGAAGUAUUUCGGUAUGUAAAGCUCUAUCAGCAGGGAAGAAAAUGACGGUACCUGACUAAGAAGCCCCGGCUAACUACGUGCCAGCAGCGGC
rnacentral:rRNA from 1 species